rnacentral:rRNA from 1 species
AACGAACGCUGGCGGCAUGCCUAACACAUGCAAGUCGAACGAGACCUUCGGGUCUAGUGGCGCACGGGUGCGUAACGCGUGGGAACCUGCCCUUAUGUUCGGAAUAACUCUCCGAAAGGGGUGCUAAUACCGGAUAAUGUCUUCGGACCAAAGAUUUAUGGCCUUUGGAUGGGCCCGCGUUGGAUUAGCUAGUUGGUAGGGUAAAAGCCUACCAAGGCGACGAUCCAUAGCUGGUAUGAGAGGAUGAUCAGCCACACUGGGACUGAGACACGGCCCAGACUCCUACGGGAGGCAGCAGUGGGGAAUAUUGGACAAUGGGCGAAAGCCUGAUCCAGCAAUGCCGCGUGAGUGAUGAAGGCCUUAGGGUUGUAAAGCUCUUUUACCCGGGAUGAUAAUGACAGUACCGGGAGAAUAAGCGCCGGCUAACUCCGUG